GACGAACGCUGGCGGCGUGCUUAACACAUGCAAGUCGAACGGAAAGGCCCUGCUUUUGUGGGGUGCUCGAGUGGCUAACGGGUGAGUAACACGUGAGUAACCUGCCCUUGACUUUGGGAUAACUUCAGGAAACUAGGGCUAAUACCGGAUAGGAGCUCCUGCUGCAUGGUGGGGGUUGGAAAGUUUCGGCGGUUGGGGAUGGACUCGCGGCUUAUCAGCUUGUUGGUGGGGUAGUGGCUUACCAAGGCUUUGACGGGUAGCCGGCCUGAGAGGGUGACCGGCCACAUUGGGACUGAGAUACGGCCCAGACUCCUACGGGAGGCAGCAGUGGGGAAUAUUGCACAAUGGGCGGAAGCCUGAUGCAGCAACGCCGCGUGCGGGAUGACGGCCUUCGGGUUGUAAACCGCUUUCGCCUGUGACGAAGCGUGAGUGACGGUAAUGGGUAAAGAAGCACCGGCUAACUACGUG
rnacentral:rRNA from 1 species